GGGUUGUGAGGGUCUGAAGCCUAAUCCAGCUACCGAAGAGUGAGAACCCUAGACAGUGGGAGGAAGCAUGAGGAACCAGUGAGAAUCCACACAGACACAGGACAUCAUACAGAUGGCGAGUUUAAACCUAGGACCUUCCUGCUGUGAGCCAACGUGCUACCCUUUAUAUUGCCACAGAUCCACAAUACCAGACAAGUCUUGACCUCAAUUCCUGGAAGGCAGUUUGACAGUUGGACGUGAUCCACCAGCUUCUCCAUUUCCUGAAAGUCUUUCUCACACUUGCUCAAGCUGUUCAUUGAGUGACGAAAGAGAAAGCAAAGCUGUGGCAUGACUGCGCUUGAAGAGGCUGCCUUGUUGGACAUUUGGCAUUCCACUGGCACAGCAUCACAGGUCUACUUCUCCACAUAUCAGCUUGUGCAGCCCAGAUAAUACAGUGUAACCAGACCAAAAUAGACCAUUACAUUGGACCGCUGUUAGCUGCACUACCACUAAUUGUGAAUCACCCUCUUUGAUCCAAAAUUACACUUUAAUGCUUCUGAGAUAUGACGUACCACCUUUAAUCAAAUGUACAGACAAACAAAUGCCUCAGACCAGAGAAUGUAAGAGUACUUUCUGUCUGUCAUACACAACUGCCUGUACAAGGAAGCUGCUCAGUAUCACUCAACAGCUCUGAAUGACAGGAAUAACAUACAUUUCACGGAAGAGUCAUUCCUGUUUAUAUUUCUGAAGGUUGAUGUUUAACUAACACACCUUCUUUCAAACCCAAUUACAAUCAUAGACACAAAUAUACUUCAGCCAGAGCUUUUUUUUGUCAAAAAUAAAUACAAAGCUAAAUUUAUAAGGCUCAAAGAGGCCCAACAAUAUGUCAGCAGUUUUCUGUCUUCCUUCUGUAUUCCUUCAACCAAAAAUGGCAGCUGAAUGCAACAUGCACUAUGUUUUCACUCAAAACAUUUCCAAACGCUUCCAUUUAUGUAUAUUAUUCUUACUUAGAUGAUCAGACAGCAGAUGAGAUCAGGCAAACAACUCCUUGGACUAUGAUGUCUGCGAAUUGCACAGUGAUCUCAGCAUGGAUGAGAGGGAGGACAGUGGAAUAGUUAGAAUGGCCAAGGCGGAUAGGGUCAACUAUCCAAGCCAUCAGGGCAUGUGGAAGAGAAGUGAAGAAGAGCACAGAGGCAGGUCGUUGAAGAUGGCCUUCCCUUGUUCCCUCUUAGGAAGAAGCUCAAAGAGGUGGUUUAUGGAUGUGGUGAGAGAGCACAUGCAGAUGGUAGGUGUGGCAGAGGAAGAUGCAGAGGACAGGAAGAGCUGGAAACGGAUGAUGCACUGUGGUGGCCAGUAACAGGAAGAGCUUUGUUUGGGCAUGCAAUUAUACCCAUAUUUAGUAUAUUGCGGGUUUAAAAAUAUUAUUUGAAGAAAAUGUAUUUUUCCCCAUGUCUAUAUAAAUGCUUAUGCAUUCGUAAACAAAUAAAAGUGAGGCUGCAGAAAAGGUUAUCUCUAU